CGGCGCCGCUGACGCCCGCUCGCUCACCCGCGCGCCGGGCCUGGAGGGGCUGCAGCUGAGAACCCUUUCGCAGAGAGGAAAUGUCUGCGUGCGCGAGGGCCCGGCAACCUGCAAGUGUCUUCCGGCCCGGGUGCGAGGGUGGUGUUGAGGUGUUUGGUGAGAGGGGCUGGGGCGAUUAGGCUUGGGAGGGCGCGACUGUGAAAGGAAAAGAAAGCCGCAAAACAAAAAGCGCCUGUUCAGCCUCGGGCGUGUUCCUCUCCAGCUAGAUCCUCGCAACGUCCUCACCAGGUCAGGAUUAACUUGAAAAAUGAAGCUGAGCCAGGCCGUGCGAUUUAGCUAAACUCAGCUGUUAAGCGGCUGAAUCAGAACUUGACCUCAGGCCAGGAAGUCUUGCUUCCAGGGUUGUUGCUGCCUGGCCAGAGGCGGCUUGGGGUCAGGCGCAGCUAACUGACUUGAGACCUUUAAAGCUGGCAGCAAAAGCGUUUGCCCAUCCAUCCACCCAUGCAUUCAUUCCUUCGCUCAUUAGUCUACUCCUUCAUCCAAAUAUUUGUUAAGCACCAACUGUAUGCCAGGCACUGUGCUAGGUGCUGGAGAUGAACCCCCAAAGAACCAAGUCCCGGCUUUCAGGGGCUUAGAUUCUAGUCGAAGACAAAGAGCAAGUAAACAAGUGGGACACUAACUACGACUGGCCAGGGAAUAGACCAGUGAAGGGGCAGCAGGAAAUCUCCAGGAAGAGCCUCCUAAGGUGGUCACAUUUCAACAGAGACCCAACUGAUGCAAAGGAGGUAAAACUGCAAGUACAAAGGUCCUGGGGACAUAUAUAUUUGCAAAUAAGUGAUAAUUUAAUGAGCAACUCCUUUAUAUGGAUGUGAAAACUGAGGCUGAGAAACUUGAAGGAAUUGGCUCAAGGUCAUACUGCUGAUCCCCAGCAGAGGAAGGACCAGCACUCAGGACAGAGGAAGCCGGAAGCCCUCACCCAGAAGAUCCCACUCAUCACCUUUCUCGACAGCAGUUUCUGCCAAGCAUCUCUCCACUGGUCCCACUCAGGGCAAGUGCUGUUGUCUCCCCUGGGUAGCCUUGGCAGCCUGUAUUCUGACCUAGUCUAGUCUCCAUAAGGCAGCCAGAGUCUACUCAAAAUGCCCUCAGCUAAAGCCUUCAAGUGGCUCCCCAUUCCCUCUGGACAACAUAGAUGGUACAAGCUGAAUGACCAUAGAGUUAUCUCCAGUGAGGACACCUGUCACACUGAAGGGGUCUAUUGCAUUCUCUCCAGGAUAAUGGACACGAGGUCUGUCCUGGACUUUGGGUCAUUGUAAAGGGUCAGUAGCAAGUAGAAGCAUUUGGGCAAGCUAGGAUGGAUGGCUGCCCUCCCUGCAAGGAUGUGCCCAUCAUGGACUAAGAUGGGGCCAGUGAAGUGUCCAGGGCAGAAAAUUUAAGGAGGUUUCCACUCAGGUCCUAACUGCACUUGUGAGGCCGACUGAGGGCCUCGCUUGCUUCCCCCCAGCCUGGCUCUUUUCAGGGAGCACAACCUUUUCAGAGCCCUCUCUUCGCAGGGCCUUUGCCUGUAUUCUCAGAUCUAGGAUCACCUCUUCAGGAAAGCUUUCCUUGGUUCCUCCAAAUGGGUCAACUUCAGCUAUAAUCGGCUCUCAAAAUGCCAGGUGUUCCUCCUUUUUCAGCCACACACAAUGCAACCUGACGUUUUAUGUAGCACAGGAUACAAAUUUGAUUUGGGGAGCACAUUAAAUAUGUGUCCUGGACUUUGGGUCACUGUAAAACAUCAGCAGCAAGUGGAAACAUUUGGGCUGCAGAGGUAGGCGCCCCUCUGAAGGGAAAUCUUCUAGGUUCACGUCUUUCUUUACCACGCACUUCACUGCACGACUCUCCGGGCGUCAGUUUCUCUUUGAACGGGAGAGGAAAGUAUCGACCCACAGGGUCGCUGUCGAGAAAAUACUUUGAGAAAACCCCUUGGCACAGGGAGAAGCAAGGGACGCCAGAAAAACAACAACAACAAAAAAAAAAACGGCAUUUACCAAGCCAUUAUAUCCUGCUUUUACUAGCUCCCAGCUGGAUGCAGCCACCCCUUGGGACAGCCCCAUUUCAAAGAUGAGCAGACGGAGACCGAGAACCUACGGGUGGAGGAAUGAGGAUUCAAGUCCCUUUCCACGAUGCUCAGAAGAUGUUUAUUCGCAUAGAUUUUUCUGGUUCUUGCUGGGAGUUCCUUGAAAGUAAAAUUGACAAUAACGGGAAAUUCCUGUGCAGAACGCCUCGCAAGAGGUUAAGCGGGAGGCGCGGGGCAUGCUGGCUGCUGUAGUCCGGAGGUCGCGGUGCCUGCUGGGAGUUGUAGUGCUCCCGGGGCUCACAGCCCGCGGGAGGCUCCGCCCCUUCCCGGCCGGCACAGCCAGUCCCUGGAGCUGGGUUCCUCCCGGCCCCCGGCGUGGUCCCGCCUCUGCCCGGAGCUGAUAACUCAGCUGCUGACGAGGAGGGAAUCCUGCUUCAUCGGAUUGUUGAGGAUUAAAAUGGUUAGCAGAGCUAGAGGACUCAGAAGGCUUGACGUUAAGUGCUACUUAAGCAUUAGUUGCUAUUAUUGCCUAAUCCUCAGUGACCCUUGCAAAGGAGCCUUUGCCGUCUCGGUUUUGUUGGCCGAGGAACCCGAGGCUGGCGGAGUUAGGUGGCUUUCCCGGGGAUCACACAGCGAGGACGGCGGAGAGUCAGUUUUGGAAUCUCCUCCUUUGCCCCCGGCAGCACCUGCUGGUCCCCUGUGGCGAGGGACGCGGGGUCUGAGGUUGCCAGCCACACGUGACGGACGUGCAGCCCGGCCGCUGAGUCAGCAGCAGGAAGUGGCGAAGUGGCGCCAACGGUCAUGUGAAGCCACGAGGCCCAACCUGAGGCCCAAACCCUGACGCUCCAGACCAAGAUGACAACGCAGAGGUGGCGAGCCAGGUCCUGAGAGGGGGUGGAGCUGCCCAGGGAAAUCUGGGCCCCUGCUGCGGACUGAGGAAGGCCCGAGAAGGUCACUGUCCAUUGCUUAAGCUGCCUGAGGACAUUUUAUGUAUGAUGUUGUUGCUACAAUAUUCAGUCAAAAAGGGGGACGGGGAGGGGUGCCGGUCCGUCCAACAGUCCUCUGUUGGUGGACGUCUGGGUUGGUUCCUUUGGUCGGUGUCUCCCCGCUGCGCCCCCCCACCUUCUCUCUCCCCCUCUGGUGGAGGCUUGGACUCAGCGCCUUAAGCAUGAUAAGCCCAUGUUCUCCCACUCGAA